rnacentral:rRNA from 1 species
AUGAACGCUGGCGGCGUGCUUAACACAUGCAAGUCGAGCGAUGAAGUUUCCUUCGGGAAACGGAUUAGCGGCGGACGGGUGAGUAACACGUGGGUAACCUGCCUCAUAGAGUGGAAUAGCCUUCCGAAAGGAAGAUUAAUACCGCAUAACGUUGAAAGAUGGCAUCAUCAUUCAACCAAAGGAGCAAUCCGCUAUGAGAUGGACCCGCGGCGCAUUAGCUAGUUGGUGGGGUAACGGCCUACCAAGGCGACGAUGCGUAGCCGACCUGAGAGGGUGAUCGGCCACAUUGGGACUGAGACACGGCCCAGACUCCUACGGGAGGCAGCAGUGGGGAAUAUUGCACAAUGGGGGAGACCCUGAUGCAGCAACGCCGCGUGAGUGAUGAAGGUUUUCGGAUCGUAAAGCUCUGUCUUUGGGGAAGAUAAUGACGGUACCCAAGGAGGAAGCCACGGCUAACUACGUGCCAGCAGCCGCGGUAAUACGUAGGUGGCGAGCGUUAUCCGGAUUUACUGGGCGUAAAGGGAGCGUAGGCGGAUGAUUAAGUGGGAUGUGAAAUACCCGGGCUCAACUUGGGUGCUGCAUUCCAAACUGGUUAUCUAGAGUGCAGGAGAGGAGAGUGGAAUUCCUAGUGUAGCGGUGAAAUGCGUAGAGAUUAGGAAGAACACCAGUGGCGAAGGCGACUCUCUGGACUGUAACUGACGCUGAGGCUCGAAAGCGUGGGGAGCAAACAGGAUUAGAUACCCUGGUAGUCCACGCCGUAAGCGAUGAAUACUAGGUGUGGGGGUUUCAACACCUCCGUGCCGCCGCUAACGCAUUAAGUAUUCCGCCUGGGGAGUACGGUCGCAAGAUUAAAACUCAAAGGAAUUGACGGGGACCCGCACAAGUAGCGGAGCAUGUGGUUUAAUUCGAAGCAACGCGAAGAACCUUACCUACACUUGACAUCCCUUGCAUUACUCUUAAUCGAGGAAAUCCCUUCGGGGACAAGGUGACAGGUGGUGCAUGGUUGUCGUCAGCUCGUGACGUGAGAUGUUGGGUUAAGUCCCGCAACGAGCGCAACCCUUGUCGUUAGUUACUACCAUUAAGUUGAGGACUCUAGCGAGACUGCCUGGGUUAACCAGGAGGAAGGUGGGGAUGACGUCAAAUCAUCAUGCCCCUUAUGUGUAGGGCUACACACGUGCUACAAUGGCUGGUACAGAGAGAUGCAAUACCGUGAGGUGGAGCCAAACUUUAAAACCAGUCUCAGUUCGGAUUGUAGGCUGAAACUCGCCUACAUGAAGCUGGAGUUACUAGUAAUCGCGAAUCAGAAUGUCGCGGUGAAUACGUUCCCGGGUCUUGUACACACCGCCCGUCACACCAUGAGAGUUGGCAAUACCCGAAGUCCGUGAGCUAACCGCAAGGAGGCAGCGGCCGAAGGUAGGGUCAGCA